UACGAAGGGGGCAAGCGUUAUUCGGAUUUAUUGGGCGUAAAGGGCGCGUAGGUGGCUGGGCAAGUCCGGUGUGAAAACGCUACCGCUCAACGGAGCGAUUGCGCUGGAAACUGCUCAACUUGAGUGCAGGAGAGGUGAACAGAAUGCCUGGUGUAGCGGUGGAAUGCUUAGAGAUCAGGCAGAAUACCUGAGGCGAAGGCGGUUCACUGGCCUGUUACUGACACUGAUGCGCGAAAGCGUGGGGAUCAAACGGGAUUAGAUACCCCGGUAGUCCACGCUGUAAACGGUGAGUACCAGCCGUCGGGGGUACCCAUUCCCUCGGUGGCGGCGUUAACACUUUAAGUACUCCGCCUGGGAAGUACGGCCGCAAGGUUGAA
rnacentral:rRNA from 1 species